rnacentral:rRNA from 1 species
ACGUAGGAGGCAAGCGUUAUCCGGAAUUACUGGGCGUAAAGCGUGCGCAGGCGGAUUGUUAAGCAAGACGUGAAAUCCCCGGGCUUAACCUGGGAAUGGCGUUUUGAACUGGCAGUCUGGAGUGCGUCAGAGGGGGGUGGAAUUCCACGUGUAGCAGUGAAAUGCGUAGAGAUGUGGAGGAACACCGAUGGCGAAGGCAGCACCCUGGGACGAAACUGACGCUAAUGUACGACAGCGCGGGUAGCAAACAG